GAAGCAGGAAGCAGGAAGCAGAAAACACUCUCCAUUCAUCCUCAUACAGCUUGCCUACUGCCAAGUAGACAGUCAAUAAACAAGGAAAUAAUUAGUUGCACGGCUCAUUAGGAAGGGACUUAUUCCAAGAACAACAAAAAUCAAGUGGGAAGGGGAAUGAAGGCUCAGAGCAGGGGAUUACUUUCCAUCCAGGUGGCUGUGAUAGGAAUGGAGGCUGUGAGCAACUGCCAGGGGGGAAGGAACAUUCUAAGACAAUGCAGUCCCUGGUGCAACAGCCCAUGUGGCAGGACAUACCUGAAACACACGUGGCAUGGAAAGGCAGAUGUGGAAGCUGUCCCUGGUAGUGGAGCAAGGUGUCCAAGCCACCCAGCUAGCAGGCAGUAGAACUCAUACCUGCCUUGUCCUGAGAGGUCUUCCUGUUGGAAGCAUUGUCAAGGCUCAUCAAGUGCACUGAAACUGAGGGAAGGUCUGUCAGGCUGGGAACCCAGGACACAGUCAAGGAUGUAAGCUGGGACUCUGAGGUCUGUCUCCGAGUUCUGUGUGUCUUGCAGCAACCACAUUCCUGUUUCUCCCAUGUGCUAUUCUGCUGGACAUUUUUCUCUUUGAUUUGAUGGCUAUACAAUUAAUCUCAUCUGACAGGUGAGGAGGGGUCUCCCCUGCCAUGGUCCCCAAGCUUCCUGGAGAGUAAAUAUUGAUUUUGGGAACUGGGGUGGAGGGCAGAUUCACUUGUGAAUCGAUUCUGAGUCAAACCACAUCUUGAGUGGCAUCCUGCGAUGAAGGAUGGUACCUUGUCCUUUUGGCUGGCACACUGAGUAUGAGAGGAGGUGGGGGCUCUCCACAGACCACCAGAAAAAAGUUAGGAGCUCCACACAGCAUCCUUGAUGAACGAAUGCUGGGCCUACCCUGGAAUGAGGUUGUCUGAUGAAGGGACUGUUGGCAGACCCUUCUGAGUAACAGGCACAGGGUUUGGCUCUGUGAGGACUGUCUGAGAGGCUUCAGUCAGCUGAGCCCUGUGCCCUGCACUGGAGCACAAGUCGUCUUAUACACCCAGUCUGCUUAGGAAAGAAGCUAUGUGUCUCCAGUAGUCACGUGGGUCCAAGCUGCCUGUUUUCUGUUCUGGAGGCCAGUCUUCAGCUUCCCUGGAAAGACUAGGGUGUCCUUACCUGGAUGGCUUGUUUCAGUAGUACCAUCACUAAAUGGCUCUCAAGGAGACUUGCAUGUCCCAGGAAUGGAGGACAAAGAGACAAGAGCCCAAACACACCUUAGGGUGAAAUGAAGUCUCACUGCUAUAGCAACUCCAAACUGCAGCUCAGACCUAAAGCUGAGAUGCCUGGCUUAUUGAACAGAUGCUGAGCCAUUCCACUGAUAAAAAGCUCAAGUAUAU
ensembl:lincRNA 1700012E03Rik RIKEN cDNA 1700012E03 gene